rnacentral:rRNA from 1 species
AAGGGGUGUAUUUAUUAGAUUAAAAACCAAUGCCCUUCGGGGCUUUUUGGUGAUUCAUAAUAACUUCUCGAAUCGCAUGGCCUUGUGCCGGCGAUGGUUCAUUCAAAUUUCUGCCCUAUCAACUUUCGAUGGCAGGGUCUUGGCCUGCCAUGGUUACAACGGGUAACGGAGGGUUAGGGCUCGACCCCGGAGAAGGAGCCUGAGAAACGGCUACUACAUCCAAGGAAGGCAGCAGGCGCGCAAAUUACCCAAUCCCGAUACGGGGAGGUAGUGACAAUAAAUACUGAUACAGGGCUCUUUUGGGUCUUGUAAUUGGAAUGAGUACAAUUUAAAUCCCUUAACGAGGAACAAUUGGAGGGCAAGUCUGGUGCCAGCAGCCGCGGUAAUUCCAGCUCCAAUAGCGUAUAUUAAAGUUGUUGCAGUUAAAAAGCUCGUAGUUGAAUCUUGGGCCUGGCUGGCCGGUCCGCCUCACCGCGUGCACUGGUUCGGCCGGGCCUUUCCCUCUGGGGAAUCCCAUGCCCUUCACUGGGUGUGGCGAGGAACAGGACUUUUACUGUGAA